CGGAAUAUUGUGGCUCGACUUGCGUAGGCAUCGCAGUAUCCUGCAUCAGGUCCGUGGGCUUUGUCAUCUUUGCCCCCCUCAGCGAACUUCGUUGUUGGAUGCAGACGUGUCACGAGGAUUCGACAGGAUCUGGAUGUGAUGGGAUAGCACGGAAUGUGGAAUAAUACAUUACACGGAAUGAAUUUUAUUGCUAAUUAAAUAACUCAAAAAAAGAAGAAAGAAAACCACAAGGAAACCACGCGCCUUACAGAAAAUAACAAUUUGUCAAUCGUAUAUAAACUGAUGAUGAAAAAAUGCUUUCAGUACAUCGUAAAGUAGCUUACAAUACGAGUCUUUCAACUGGAUGUGAUAGGAUAGCACGGGAUGUGGAACAAUACAUUACGCGGAAUGAAUUUUAUUGCUUAAAUAACUCAAGUAAUUAAUGGGUUAAUUGAAUAACUGAGAAAAUAUGACACU